AUUGAACGCUGGCGGCAUGCUUUACACAUGCAAGUCGAACGGCAGCGCGGGCUUCGGCCUGGCGGCGAGUGGCGAACGGGUGAGUAAUACAUCGGAACGUGCCCAGUAGUGGGGGAUAGCUCGGCGAAAGCCGGAUUAAUACCGCAUACGACCUGAGGGUGAAAGCGGGGGAUCUUCGGACCUCGCGCUAUUGGAGCGGCCGAUGGCAGAUUAGCUAGUUGGUGGGGUAAAGGCCUACCAAGGCGACGAUCUGUAGCUGGUCUGAGAGGACGACCAGCCACACUGGGACUGAGACACGGCCCAGACUCCUACGGGAGGCAGCAGUGGGGAAUUUUGGACAAUGGGCGAAAGCCUGAUCCAGCAAUGCCGCGUGUGUGAUGAAGGCCUUCGGGUUGUAAAGCACUUUUGGCGGGAACGAAAAGGACUGUGCCAAUACCACGGUUCGAUGACGGUACCCGCCGAAUAAGCACCGGCUAACUACGUG
rnacentral:rRNA from 1 species